rnacentral:rRNA from 1 species
GAUCCUGGCUCAGAUUGAACGCUGGCGGCAUGCCUAACACAUGCAAGUCGAACGGCAGCACAGAUAUAGUUUACUAUAUUGGGUGGCGAGUGGCGGACGGGUGAGUAACGCGUGGGUAUAUGACCUAAUGACGGGGACAACUUGCGGAAACGCGAGCUAAUACCGGAUAAGCUCUGAGGAGGAAAGCUGGGGAUCUGGCGACAGACCUGGCGCUUUAGGAGUAACCUGCGUCCAAUUAGCUAGUUGGUAGGGUAAAGGCCUACCAAGGCGACGAUUGGUAGCUGGUCUGAGAGGACGGACAGCCACACUGGGACUGAGACACGGACCCGACUCCUACGGGAGGCAGCAGUAAGGAAUAUUGGACAAUGGGCGCAAGCCUGAUCCAGCCAUCCCGCGUGCAGGAUGACAGCCCUACGGGUUGUAAACUGCUUUUGUUAGGGAAGAAACCCCUCGAUUUAUCGGGGGCUGACGGUACCUUUCGAAUAAGCACCGGCUAACUCCGUG